rnacentral:rRNA from 1 species
GGGUGAGUAACGCGUAAGUAACCUACCUCUAAGUGGGGGAUAGCUUCGGGAAACUGAAGGUAAUACCGCGUGUGAUGGGCUGACAUAAGUCGGUUCAUUAAAGCCGCAAGGUGCUUGGUGAGGGGCUUGCGUCCGAUUAGCUAGUUGGUGGGGUAAUGGCCUACCAAGGCUUCGAUCGGUAGCUGGUCUGAGAGGAUGAUCAGCCACACUGGGACUGAGACACGGCCCAGACUCCUACGGGAGGCAGCAGCAAGGAAUCUUGGGCAAUGGGCGAAAGCCUGACCCAGCAACGCCGCGUGAGGGAUGAAGGCUUUCGGGUUGUAAACCUCUUUUCACAGGGAAGAAUAAUGACGGUACCUGUGGAAUAAGCUUCGGCUAACUACGUGCCAGCAGCCGCGGUAAUACGUAGGAAGCAAGCGUUAUCCGGAUUUAUUGGGCGUAAAGUGAGCGUAGGUGGUCUUUCAAGUUGGAUGUGAAAUUUCCCGGCUUAACCGGGACGUGUCAUUCAAUACUGUUGGACUAGAGUACAGCAGGAGAAAACGGAAUUCCCGGUGUAGUGGUAAAAUGCGUAGAUAUCGGGAGGAACACCAGAGGCGAAGGCGGUUUUCUAGGUUGUCACUGACACUGAGGCUCGAAAGCGUGGGGAGCGAACAGAAUUAGAUACUCUGGUAGUCCACGCCUUAAACUAUGGACACUAGGUAUAGGGAGUAUCGACCCUCUCUGUGCCGAAGCUAACGCUUUAAGUGUCCCGCCUGGGGAGUACGGUCGCAAGG